rnacentral:rRNA from 1 species
GAGUCAUUGGGACUCUGUUAAACCUAAAGGCGCAAUGAAAGUAAAGGUCCGCCUCGCGCGGACCGAGGGAGGAUGGCCCCGUACGCGUACGGGCCCCGCACUCCCGGGGCGUCUCGUUCUCAUCGCGAGAAGAGGCGCACCCAGAGCGUACACGCUGGGACCCGAAAGAUGGUGAACUAUGCCUGGUCAGGACGAAGUCAGGGGAAACCCUGAUGGAGGUCCGUAGCGAUUCUGACGUGCAAAUCGAUCGUCGGAACUGGGUAUAGG